rnacentral:rRNA from 1 species
CAUGCAGUCGAACGAUGAUCCCAGCUUGCUGGGGGAUUAGUGGCGAACGGGUGAGUAACACGUGAGUAACCUGCCCUUAACUCUGGGAUAAGCCUGGGAAACUGGGUCUAAUACCGGAUAUGACUCCUCAUCGCAUGGUGGGGGGUGGAAAGCUUUUUGUGGUUUUGGAUGGACUCGCGGCCUAUCAGCUUGUUGGUGAGGUAAUGGCUUACCAAGGCGACGACGGGUAGCCGGCCUGAGAGGGUGACCGGCCACACUGGGACUGAGACACGGCCCAGACUCCUACGGGAGGCAGCAGUGGGGAAUAUUGCACAAUGGGCGCAAGCCUGAUGCAGCGACGCCGCGUGAGGGAUGACGGCCUUCGGGUUGUAAACCUCUUUCAGUAGGGAAGAAGCGAAAGUGACGGUACCUGCAGAAGAAGCGCCGGCUAACUACGUGCCAGCAGCCGCGGUAAUACGUAGGGCGCAAGCGUUAUCCGGAAUUAUUGGGCGUAAAGAGCUCGUAGGCGGUUUGUCGCGUCUGCCGUGAAAGUCCGGGGCUCAACUCCGGAUCUGCGGUGGGUACGGGCAGACUAGAGUGAUGUAGGGGAGACUGGAAUUCCUGGUGUAGCGGUGAAAUGCGCAGAUAUCAGGAGGAACACCGAUGGCGAAGGCAGGUCUCUGGGCAUUAACUGACGCUGAGGAGCGAAAGCAUGGGGAGCGAACAGGAUUAGA